CAAGAACAGAAGGCGGUGGAAAAUGAACCAAAUGGGAUUCCUUAAGUAAUUGCGAAUGAACAAGGAAAUGCUCAGCUUGAAAAAUGGGGCCUUUGGCUUUGAAUUGUAAUUUUGAAAUGUAUUGCCAAUGGAGGCGCAGGUGCAAGCCUAUUGAAAGAAAGCGUCAAUGAGGGUGAGAUUCCUUUUUGUCAUUUGCAGUCCUCCGUGCACGGUAUAUAUUUGACGAGUCACACUCCUCGGCAUUGGAAUGCAAAGUGGGUGGUAAAUUCCAUGUAAAGGUAAAUAUAUUAUUGAGACUGAUAGCAAACAAGUACCAUGAGGGAAAUAUGAAAAGGACUUUGAAAAGAGAAUUAAAAGAGUCUGCAUUUGCUGAACAGAAAGCAAACAGAAUUGAUUUUACUUGGUGAGAUUGUUGUGCUUACUCUAUCAUUUAUAUGGUUGAUGUGGGUGCGAUGGUUCUUACCUUGAAUGUCAGCUUCUAUUUCUGCAAAUCAUUACCCUUGCACAUGAAUGGUAAUUUGCCUGCGGGUAUUGGAAUGCAUGUGUUUGCAAUGAUUUGUGAUUUGACGCAUGUGUUUGGUGAAAUUUGUAUAUGCUCUUUUGUCGAAGGGGAAAGCUUACUUUUUUGAGCAUUGCAAGCCCUUACACAUCAGUGCUGGCAAAAUGUUUCUGUCUGACCCGUCUUGAAACACGGCCCCA
rnacentral:rRNA from 1 species